rnacentral:misc_RNA from 1 species
GAAUUUGGGACUCAAUUUGAUCGAAUUUGCAUCUGGGAAAUUGGGAAAUCAUGUUUUUGCUCAGUUAAGCACAGCCUUUUGCCACUCUAGUAUUGUAAUGCUGAGCUUAGAUAACUAGUCUGGUAUGCUAAUUUUCAGUAUGCGUUCUUCUCUGCAUGGGAGCCUUAGUAGAAGAAUCCCUUUUGCACCAUGAAUAUAAUAAAGAGAAAAAAGAGAAAAUUUUCUGAUGUUUAUGCUUGUACUAUAAAAUUUUCUGAUGUUUAUGCUUAUGCUAUUAUCUGCAUCAUGUGUGUCAGCAAUUAG